rnacentral:rRNA from 1 species
GACGAACGCUGGCGGCGUGCCUAACACAUGCAAGUCGAGCGAGGACUUCGGUCCUAGCGGCGGACGGGUGAGUAACACGUGGGCAACCUGCCUCAUAGUGGGGGAUAGCCUUCCGAAAGGAAGAUUAAUACCGCAUAACAUCAAAGCUUUGCAUAAAGUUUUGAUCAAAGGAGUAAUCCGCUAUGAGAUGGGCCCCGCGGCGCAUUAGCUAGUUGGUAAGGUAAUGGCUUACCAAGGCGACGAUGCGUAGCCGACCUGAGAGGGUGAUCGGCCACAUUGGAACUGAGAUACGGUCCAGACUCCUACGGGAGGCUG